AGAGCGAACGCUGGCGGCAGGCCUAAUACAUGCAAGUCGAACGGAUCCUUCGGGAUUAGUGGCGGACGGGUGAGUAACGCGUGGGAACGUGCCCUUUGGUUCGGAACAACUCAGGGAAACUUGAGCUAAUACCGAAUGUGCCCUUCGGGGGAAAGAUUUAUCGCCAUUGGAGCGGCCCGCGUCUGAUUAGCUAGUUGGUGGGGUAACGGCCCACCAAGGCGACGAUCAGUAGCUGGUCUGAGAGGAUGAUCAGCCACAUUGGGACUGAGACACGGCCCAAACUCCUACGGGAGGCAGCAGUGGGGAAUAUUGGACAAUGGGCGCAAGCCUGAUCCAGCCAUGCCGCGUGAGUGAUGAAGGCCCUAGGGUUGUAAAGCUCUUUUGUGCGGGAAGAUAAUGACGGUACCGCAAGAAUAACGCCCGGCUAACUUCGUGCCAGCAGCCGC
rnacentral:rRNA from 1 species